rnacentral:rRNA from 1 species
GACGAACGCUGGCGGCGUGCUUAACACAUGCAAGUCGAACGGAAAGGCCCUGCUUUCGUGGGGUGCUCGAGUGGCGAACGGGGGAGUGACACGUGAGUAACCUGCCCUUGACUUUGGGAUAACUUCAGGAAACUGGGGCUAAUACCGGAUAGGAGAUCCUGCUGCAUGGUGGGGGUUGGAACGUUUCGGCGGUUGGGGCUGGACUCGCGGCUGACCAGCUUGUUGGUGGGGUAGUGGCUUACCAAGGCAUUGACGGGUAGCCGGCAGGGGAGGGUGGCCGGGCACAUUGGGACUGCGGUACGCAGCAGACUCCAACGGUAGGCAACAGUGGCAAGUAUUGCCCAGUGGGCGGACGCCUGAUGCAGAGACCCCGCGUGCGGGAAGACGGCCUUCGGGUUGUAAACCGCUUUAGCCUGUGACGAAGCGUGAGUGACGGUAAUGAGUGAAGAAGCACCGGCUAACUACGUG